UACGGGGGGGGCAAGCGUUGUUCGGAAUUACUGGGCGUAAAGGGCGCGUAGGCGGCCUACUAAGUCAGACGUGAAAUCCCCCGGCUUAACCUGGGAACUGCGUCUGAUACUGGAAGGCUUGAGGAUGGGAGAGGGAUGUAGAAUUCCAGGUGUAGCGGUGAAAUGCGUAGAUAUCUGGAGGAAUACCGGUGGCGAAGGCGGCAUCCUGGACCAUUACUGACGCUGAGGCGCGAAAGCUAGGGGAGCAAACGGGG
rnacentral:rRNA from 1 species